rnacentral:rRNA from 1 species
CCUUAUGACCUGGGCAACACACGUGCUACAAUGGGAAGUACAACGAGUCGCAAACCGGCGACGGUAAGCUAAUCUCUUAAAACUUCUCUCAGUUCGGACUGGAGUCUGCAACUCGACUCCACGAAGGCGGAAUCGCUAGUAAUCGCGAAUCAGCAUGUCGCGGUGAAUACGUUCCCGGGUCUUGUACACACCGCCCGUCAAAUCAUGGGAGUCGGAAGUACCCAAAGUCGCUUGGCUAACUUUUAGAGGCCGGUGCCUAAGGUAAAAUCGAUGACUGGGAUUAAGUCGUAACAAGGUAGCCGUAGGAGAACCUGCGGCUGGAUCACCUCCUUUCUAAGGA